rnacentral:rRNA from 1 species
GACGUAGGGCGCGAGCGUUGUCCGGAUUUAUUGGGCGUAAAGAGCUCGUAGGCGGCUUGUCGCGUCGACUGUGAAAACUCGGGGCUCAACUCCGAGCUUGCAGUCGAUACGGGCAGGCUAGAGUUCGGUAGGGGAGACUGGAAUUCCUGGUGUAGCGGUGAAAUGCGCAGAUAUCAGGAGGAACACCGGUGGCGAAGGCGGGUCUCUGGGCCGAUACUGACGCUGAGGAGUGAAAGCGUGGGGAGCGAACAGG